rnacentral:sRNA from 3 species
GAACCUGCCGCAGGUUCGGGUCUCACGUAGUGAGACAACGGAGCCGCUUGCGGCGACGGCCCGAAGGGCGAGCAAAGCGAGUCAUCCUGCACGACCCACCA